AGCAAGAGCGGGCAGAGGGGGUCCUCCUCCAAGUCCGGAAAGUGUCAGUCCUUUUUGGGCUCAUUUAGCGGGAUUUUGGGUCAUUUAUGGGGUCAUUUAUGGGGUUUUUGGGUCAUUUAUGAGGUCAUUUAUGGGGUCAUUUAUGGGAUUUGGGGGGUUUUGGGAAGAGCGGCUUCAACAGCAAGAGCGGGCAGAGGGGGUCCUCCUCCAAGUCCGGAAAGUGUCAGUCCUUUUUGGGCUCAUUUAGCGGGAUUUUGGGUCAUUUAGGGGGUUUUGGGGUGGUUUGAUGGGUUUUCAUUGAGUUUCGUUGAGUUUUUGUUGGGUUUCGUUGAGUGUCGUUGGGUUUUUGUUGGGUUUCAUUGAGUUUUGUUGGGUUUUACCGGGGUUCUUGACUCAUCCAAGUCCAGAAAGUGUCAGUUUUGGGGUCAUUUAUGGGGUUUUAGGGUCAUUUAUGGGGUUUUUGGGUCAUUUAUGGGGUCAUUUAUGGGGUUUUGGGGAUUUCAUUGAGUUUCGUUGAGUUUUCGUUGGGUUUCAUUGAGUUCUGUUGGGUUUCGUUGGGUUUUAUUGGGGUCUUGGUCUCUUCUAGAUACAUAAAGUGUGAGUUUUGGGGUCGUUUAUGGGGUUUUUGGGGUCAUUUAUGGGGUUUUUGGGUCAUUUAUGGGAUCAUUUAUGGGGUUUUGGGGAUUUCAUUGAGUUUCGCUGAGUUUUUGUUGGGUUUUUGUUGGGUUUCGUCUUUGCUUUGGGUUCCUUAUGGGGUCUUGGUUGCUUCUAGGUCCAUAAAGUGUCAGUUUUGGGGUCAUUUAUGGGGUUUUGGGGGUUUCAUUGAGUUUCGUUGGGUUUUUGUUGGGUUUCGUUGGGUUUCCUCUUUGGUUUGGGUUCCUUAUGGGGUCUUGGUUGCUUCUAGGUCCAUAAAGUGUGAGUUUUGGGGUCGUUUAUGGGGUUUUUGGGGUCGUUCAUGGGGUUUUUGGGGUCGUUUAUGGGGUUUUUGGAUCAUUUAUGGGGUCAUUUAUGGGGUUUGGGGGUGGUUUGAUGGGUUUUCGUUGGGUUUUUGUUGGGUUUUGGGAAGAGCGGCUUCAACAGCAAGAGCGGGCAGAGGGGGUCCUCCUCCAAGUCCGGAAAGUGUCAGUUCUUUUUGGGCUCAUUUAGCGGGAUUUUGGGUCAUUUAUGGGGUCAUUUAUGGGAUUUGGGGGGUUUUGGGGUGAUUUGAUGGGUUUUCGUUGGGUUUUCAUUGAGUUUUGUUGGGUUUCGCUGGGUUUUAUCGGGGUUCUUGAAUCCUCCAAGUCCGGAAAGUGUCAGUCGUUUUUGGGGUCAUUUAGGGGGAUUUUGGGUCAUUUAGGGGGUCAUUUAUGGGGUUUUUGGGUCAUUUAUGGGGUCAUUUAUGGGGUUUUGGGUGUUUCGUUGGGUUUCGUUGGGGUUCUUGACUCCUCCAAGUCCGGAAAGUGUCAGUCAUUUUUUGGGGUCAUUUAGGGGGUUUUUGGGUCAUUUAUGGGGUCAUUUAUGGGGUUUUUGGGUCAUUUAUGGGGUUUUUGGGGUUUCAUUGAGUUUCGUUGGGUUUUCGUUGUGUUUCAUUGAGUUUUGUUGGUUUUUUGUUUGGUUUCAUUGGGGUUUUUGUUGGGUUUUGGGAAGAGCGGCUUCAACAGCAAGAGCGGGCAGAGGGGGUCCUCCUCCAAGUCCGGAAAGUGUCAGUCCUUUUUGGGCUCAUUUAGGGGGAUUUUGGGUCAUUUAUGGGGUCAUUUAUGGGGUUUUUGGGUCAUUUAUGGGGUCAUUUAUGGGGUUUGGGGGGUUUCGUUAGGUUUCAUUGGGUCUUCGUUGAGUUUCAUUGGGUUUCGUCUUUGGUUUGGGUUCCUUAUGGGGUCUUGGUUGCUUCUAGAUACAUAAAGUGUGAGUUUUGGGGUCGUUUAUGGGGUUUUGGGGGUCAUUUAUGGGGUUUUUGGGGUUUCAUUGAGUUUCGUUGAGUUUUUGUUGGGUUUCGUUGGGUUUCAUCUUUGUUUUGGGCUCCUUUUCGGGUCUUGGUCUCUUCCAAGUCCUUAAAGUGUCAGUUUUGGGGUCAUUUAUGGGGUUUUUGGGUCAUUUAUGGGGUCAUUUAUGGGAUUUGGGGUGUUUUGGGGUGGUUUGAUGGGUUUUCAUUGGGUUUCAUUGGGUUUUUGUUGGGUUUUAUUGGGGUUCUUGACUCAUCCAAGUCCAGAAAGUGUCAGUUUUGGGGUCAUUUAUGGGGUUUUUGGGUCAUUUAUGGGGUCAUUUAUGGGGUUUGGGGGGUUUUGGGGUGGUUUGAUGGGUUUUCAUUGGGUUUCGUUGGGUUUUUGUUGGGUUUCAUUGAGUUUUGUUGGGUUUCGUUGGGUUUUACUGCGGUCUUGGUCUCUUCUAAGUACAUAAAGUGUGACUUUUGGGGUCGUUUAUGGGGAUUUUGGGGUCGUUUAUUGGGUUUUUGGGUCAUUUAUGGGGUCAUUUAUGGGGUUUUGGGGGGUUUCGUUGGGUUUCAUUGGGUCUUCGUUGAGUUUCAUUGGGUUUCGUCUUUGCUUUGGGUUCCUUAUGGGGUCUUGGUUGCUUCUAGGUCCAUAAAGUGUGAGUUUUGGGGUCAUUUGUGGGGUUUUUGGGGUCAUUUAUGGGGUUUUUGGGUCAUUUAUGGGGUUUUGGGGUUUCAUUGAGUUUUGUUGAGUUUUCAUUGGGAUUUUGUUGGGUCUUCGUUGAGUUUUGUUGGGUUUCGUUGGGUUUUUGUUGGGUUUUGACUCCUCCAUAUCCGGAAGGUGUCAGUUUUGGGGUCAUUUAUGGGGUUUUUGGGUCAUUUAGGGGGAUUUUGGGUCAUUUAUGGGGUCAUUUAUGGGAUUUGGGGGGUUUUGGGGUGGUUUGAUGGGUUUUCGUUGGGUUUUUGUUGGGUUUCGUUGGGGUUCUUGACUCCUCCAAGUCCGGAAAGUGUCAGUCCUUUUUGGGCUCAUUUAGGGGGAUUUUGGGUCAUUUAUGGGGUCAUUUAGGGGGUUUUGGGGCAGUACGACGGCAUUCGGUGAGUCUUCGUUGGGUUUCAUUGGGUUUCGUCUUUGCUUUGGGUUCCUUAUGGGGUCCUGGUUGCUUCUAGGUCCAUAAAGUGUCAGUUUUGGGGUCAUUUAUGGGGUUUUUGGGUCAUUUAUUGGGUUUUUGGGUCAUUUAUGGGGUCAUUUGGGGGGUUUUGGGGUGGUUUGAUGGGUUUUCAUUGAGUUUCGUUGGGUUUUGGGAAGAGCGGCUUCAACAGCAAGAGCGGGCAGAGGGGGUCCUCCUCCAAGUCCGGAAAGUUGAAAGGCGACGACCUUCAGACCAUUAAGAAAGAACUGAGUCAGAUCAAGCAAAAAGUCGAUUCCCUCCUCGAAAGCCUCGAGAAGAUCGAAAAGGAACAAAAACAGAAAGGCGAUAAGACGGAGGAGGAAAA